CUGGGGGAAGGCGUGGCUUCCGCGCUCUUUGAAAUGUCCGGCGCCGGAAUGUCUGGGUGCUUUGGUUGGAGAGGGUCCCAUUUCCAGUCAUUCUUCAGCCUGGUGAUUCCCGCGCUCCCCUGAGGAGCAUAUGAAGUACGUCGGUUCUGCCAGGUUGGAACGCGCUGCUGGACACUCGGCCGUAAGGCGGAUCCCGGAUCCCCUCCCACUCCGACCCUUCCCUCCAGAAGGGCCGGUUCCCAAACGGCCCCUUUAGACACAUCCAAGCGGUUGCCGACGGCCCUCACGAUGAAAACUGCUGUCCGUUGGUGAAGGCAGCCUCUUCUGUGCUCCUCGCCGCUGACUUCCUGAGGCGGACCUACCUGUGGAGGCAUACCAGGAACCAGACGAUGACCCCCUCCAAAAGUUGGGUCUUUGAGGAGAGCUACUAACUUGGGUUCCUGGUACACCCUCUACAUGCAGUGGUGAAGCUUAUCUAACAGUCAUUCAUAGAAUCAGUUUGGGAAGGGGAAUUUUCACUGAACUCUCAUAGAGAAACUGUGUUUUAGAUAACAGAAAGUUCUGCACGGUUAAAAUGGAACAGAAAUUUUUUUGCACAGAAAUUAGGAUUACCGAAAAUACUGAAGAAAGACUACCUCUGAUUGGACUCUUCUCAAGGAAUUAAUAAUUCAAGAACUAAGGAAAGAAAAAAGUGAUUAUAUGAAAAUACUGAAGUUGAUCGUAGCAGCUGAAGGCUGAUCCUGUGUGGGCUGAAGUACAUUGGUGCAAUCUUGGCUCACUGCAUCUCCACCCCAGGUUCAAGCGAUUCUCCUGCCUCAGCCUCCCAAGCAGCUGGGAUUACAGAAUGUCACAUAAAUGGAAUCAUACUGUGUCCGGAAUUGGUGGGUUCUUGGUCUCACUGACUUCAAGAAUGACGCCAUGGGCCCUCGCGGUGAGUGUUACAGCUCUUAAGGUGGCGCGUCUGGAGUUUGUUCCUUCUGAUGUUCGGAUGUGUUCGGAGUUUCUUCCUUCUGGUGGGUUCGUGGUCUCGCUGGCUCAGGAGUGAAGCUGCAGACUUUCGCGCCUGCAAAAGAUGUUGAAGAGAUUGAAAAAAAAAAAGACUCAAGGUUUUAGAAAAAGCUAUUGCUGAACUGAGUCACUGAGUCAUUGCCUCCAACCUCAUCCUAAGGGGUACAUGCCCCUCACCUCACACUAAUAAAACGAAUUUUACUGGGA
rnacentral:lncRNA from 1 species